CCUACGGGUGGCAGCAGUGGGGAAUAUUGCACAAUGGGGGAAACCCUGAUGCAGCGACGCCGCGUGAGCGAUGAAGUAUUUCGGUAUGUAAAGCUCUAUCAGCAGGGAAGAAAAUGACGGUACCUGACUAAGAAGCCCCGGCUAACUCCGUGCCAGCAGCCGCGGUAAUACGGAGGGGGCAAGCGUUAUCCGGAUUUACUGGGUGUAAAGGUAGCGUAGACGGUCCUGCAAGCCAGAUGUGAAAGCCCCGGGCUCAACCCCGGGACUGCAUUUGGAACUGGAAGGCUAGAGUGUGGGAGAGGCAGGCGGAAUUCCUAGUGUAGCGGUGAAAUGCGUAGAUAUUAGGAGGAACACCAGUGGCGAAGGCGGCCUGCUGGACGAUGACUGACGUUGAGGCUCGAAAGCGUGGGGAGCAAACAGGAUUAGAUACCCCUGUAGUC
rnacentral:rRNA from 1 species